ACUCCUACGGGAGGCAGCAGUGAGGAAUAUUGGUCAAUGGGCGCAAGCCUGAACCAGCCAUGCCGCGUGCAGGAAGACUGCCCUAUGGGUUGUAACUGCUUUUAUACAGGAAGAAACACUCGGACGUGUCCGAGCUUGACGGUACUGUAAGAAUAAGGAUCGGCUAACUCCGUGCCAGCAGCCGCGGUAAUACGGAGGAUCCAAGCGUUAUCCGGAAUCAUUGGGUUUAAAGGUCCGUAGGUGGAUUAGUAAGUCAGAGGUGAAAGCCUGCAGCUCAACUGUAGAACUGCCUUUGAUACUGCUAGUCUUGAGUCAUUAUGAAGUGGUUAGAAUGUGUAGUGUAGCGGUGAAAUGCAUAGAUAUUACACAGAAUACCGAUUGCGAAGGCAGAUCACUAAUAAUGUACUGACACUGAUGGACGAAGCGUGGGGAGCGAACAGGAUUAGAUACCCUGGUAGCGACUGA
rnacentral:rRNA from 1 species